AACGAACGCUGGCGGCAGGCUUAACACAUGCAAGUCGAGCGCCCCGCAAGGGGAGCGGCAGACGGGUGAGUACCGCGUGGGAAUCUACCGUGCCCUGCGGGAUAGCUCCGGGAAACUGGAAUUAAUACCGUAUACGCCCUACGGGGGAAAGAUUUAUCGGGGUAUGAUGAGCCCGCGUUUGAUUAGCUAGUUGGUGGGGUAAAGGCCUACCAAGGCGACGAUCCCUAGCUGGUCUGAGAGGAUGAUCAGCCACAUUGGGACGGAGACACGGCCCAAACUCCUACGGGAGGCAGCAGUGGGGAACAUUGGACAAUGGGCGCAAGCCUGAUCCAGCCACGCCGCGUGAGUGAUGAAGGUCUUAGGAUUGUAAAGCUCUUUCACCGAUGAAGAUAAUGACGGUAGUCGGAGAAGAAGCCCCGGCUAACUUCGUGCCAGCCGCCGCCGUAACAC
rnacentral:rRNA from 1 species